rnacentral:rRNA from 1 species
UACAGAGGAGCCAAGCGUUGUCCGGAUUGACUGGGCGUAAAGCGCACGCAGGCGGACGCGCGCGUGGGGUGUGAAAUCUGGCCGCUUAACGGCCAGGCGCCAUCCCAUACGGCGCGACUGGAGUGAUGCAGAGGUCGGUGGAAUUGCCGGUGUAGUGGUGAAAUGCGUAGAGAUCGGCAGGAACACCCAGGGGGAAACCAGCCGACUGGGCAUCAACUGACGCUGAGGUGCGAGAGCGUGGGGAGCGAACCGG